rnacentral:rRNA from 1 species
CCUACGGGGGGCAGCAGUGGGGAAUAUUGCACAAUGGGGGAAACCCUGAUGCAGCGACGCCGCGUGAGUGAUGAAGUAUUUCGGUAUGUAAAGCUCUAUCAGCAGGGAAGAGAAUGACGGUACCUGACUAAGAAGCUCCGGCGAAAGACGUGCCAGCAGCCGCGGGAAGACGUAUGGAGCAAGCGUUAUCCGGAUUGACUGGGUGGAAAGGGAGCGCAGACGGCAGGGCAAGUCUGAUGUGAAAGUCCGGGGCUCAACCCCGGGACGGCCUGGGAAACUGUCCGGCUAGAGUGCAGGAGCGGUAAGUGGAAUUCCUAGUGUAGCGGUGAAAUGCGUAGAUAUUAGGAGGAACCCCAGUGGC